rnacentral:rRNA from 1 species
UACGGAGGGGGCUAGCGUUGUUCGGAAUUAUUGGGCGUAAAGCGCACGUAGGCGGUCCGUUAAGUCGGAUGUGAAAGCCCCCGGCUCAACCGGGGAAGUGCAUCCGAAACUGGCAGGCUAGAGUACGAAAGAGGGUCGCGGAAUUCCCGGUGUAGAGGUGAAAUUCGUAGAUAUCGGGAGGAACACCAGUGGCGAAGGCGACUUACUGGACACAUAUUGACGCUGAGGUGCGAAAGCGUGGGGAGCAAACAGG